rnacentral:rRNA from 1 species
AUACGGAGGGUGCAAGCGUUACUCGGAAUCACUGGGCGUAAAGCGCGCGCAGGCGGCUUGAUAAGUUGGAUGUGAAAGCCUACGGCUCAACCGUAGAACUGCAUCCAAAACUGUCAAGCUAGAGUGUGGGAGAGGAAGAUGGAAUUAGUUGUGUAGGGGUAAAAUCCGUAGAGAUAACUAGGAAUACCAAAAGCGAAGGCAAUCUUCUGGAACACUACUGACGCUGAGGCGCGAAAGCGUGGGGAGCAAACGGGAUUAGAAACCCUUGUAGUCC